GACGAACCGUGCGAACGUUGUUCGGAUUCACUGGGCUUAAAGGGCGCGUAGGCGGAUUCGCAAGUCCGGGUGAAUCUUCGGCUCAACCGGAAAGUGCCUUGGAUACUGCGAGUCUCGAGGGAGACAGGGCCGCGGGAACUUCCGGUGGAGCGGUGAAAUGCGUUGAUAUCGGAAGGAACGCCGGUGGCGAAAGCGCGCGGCUGGAUCUCUUCUGACGCUGAGGCGCGAAAGCUA
rnacentral:rRNA from 1 species